rnacentral:misc_RNA from 1 species
GAUGAAGAACGUAGUGAAAUGCGAUAAGUAGUGUGAAUUGCAGAAUUCAGUGAAUCAUCGAAUCUUUGAACGCACAUUGCGCCCCUUGGUAUCCCGAGGGGCAUGCCUGUUCGAGCGUCAUUUCACCACUCAAGCCUGGCUUGGUGUUGGGCGACGUCCCCUUUGGGGACGCGCCUCGAAACGCUCGGCGGCGUGGCACCGGCUUUAAGCGUAGCAGAAUCUUUCGCUUUGGAAGUCGGGGCCCCGUCUGCCGGAAGACCUACUCGCAAGGUCGACCUCGGAUCAGGCAGGGAUACCCGCUGAACUUAAGCAUAUCAAUAAGCGGAGGA